AGGGGUGUCGCCAAGCUGGUAAGGCACAGGACUUUGACUCCUGCAUUCGUCGGUUCGAAUCCGGCCGCCCCUGCCA
rnacentral:tRNA from 1 species